AUUGAACGCUGGCGGCAGGCCUAACACAUGCAAGUCGAGCGAGCGGCGGACGGGUGAGUAAUGUCUGGGAAACUGCCUGAUGGAGGGGGAUAACUACUGGAAACGGUAGCUAAUACCGCAUACCAUCAGAUGUGCCCAGAUGGGAAUAGCUAGUAGGUGGGGUAACGGCUCACCUAGGCGACGAUCCCUAGCUGGUCUGAGAGGAUGACCAGCCACACUGUAACUGAGACACGGUCCCGACUCCUACGGGAGGCUGCAGUGGGGAAUAUUUGAAAAUGGGCGGAAGCCUGAUGGAGCCAUGCCGCGGGUGUGAAGAAGGUAGUCGGGUUGUAAAGCGCUGUCGGCAGGGAGGCGUUACCCGCAGAGAAAGCACCGGCUAACUCCGUGCCAGCCGCCGCGGUAAUAC
rnacentral:rRNA from 1 species